UACGGAGAGUGCAAGCGUUGUUCGGAAUUAUUGGGCGUAAAGCGCGUGUAGGCGGUCCAACAAGUCUGGCGUGAAAGCCCUGAGCUCAACUCAGGAAGUGCGCUGGAAACUGUCGGACUUGAGUACCGGAGGGGAAGGUGGAAUUCUCGAGUGUAGAGGUGAAAUUCGUAGAUAUUCGGAAGAACAUCAGUGGCGAAGGCGGCCUUCUGGACGGAUACUGACGCUGAGACGCGAAAGCGUGGGGAGCAAACAGG
rnacentral:rRNA from 1 species